CGGGGUGAGUAACGCGUAAGAAUCUACCUACAGACUCGGGACAACGGUUAGAAAUGACUGCUAAUACCGGAUAUGCCUUCGGGUGAAAGAUUUAUCAUCUGUAGAUGAGCUUGCGUCCGAUUAGCUAGAUGGUGAGGUAAUGGCUUACCAUGGCGACGAUCGGUAGCUGGUCUGAGAGGAUGACCAGUCACACUGGGACUGAGACACGGCCCAG
rnacentral:rRNA from 1 species